AGUGAACGCUGGCGGUAGGCCUAACACAUGCAAGUCGAACGGCAGCACAGUAAGAGCUUGCUCUUACGGGUGGCGAGUGGCGGACGGGUGAGGAAUACAUCGGAAUCUACUUUUUCGUGGGGGAUAACGUAGGGAAACUUACGCUAAUACCGCAUACGACCUACGGGUGAAAGCAGGGGAUCUUCGGACCUUGCGCGAUUGAAUGAGCCGAUGUCGGAUUAGCUAGUUGGCGGGGUAAAGGCCCACCAAGGCGACGAUCCGUAGCUGGUCUGAGAGGAUGAUCAGCCACACUGGAACUGAGACACGGUCCAGACUCCUACGGGAGGCAGCAGUGGGGAAUAUUGGACAAUGGGCGCAAGCCUGAUCCAGCCAUACCGCGUGGGUGAAGAAGGCCUUCGGGUUGUAAAGCCCUUCUGUUGGGAAAGAAAAGCAGCAGGUUAAUACCCCGCUGUUCUGACGGUACCCAAAGAAUAAGCACCGGCUACUUCGUG
rnacentral:rRNA from 1 species